UGUCAUGGAUGAGCAAAGAAAGUGGUUUCUUGAGAUAGAAUCUACUCCUAGUGAAGAUGGUUGAAAU
rnacentral:pre_miRNA from 1 species